rnacentral:rRNA from 1 species
CCUACGGGGGGCAGCAGUGGGGAAUAUUGCACAAUGGAGGGAACUCUGAUGCAGCGACGCCGCGUGAAUGAAGAAGGUCUUCGGAUUGUAAAGUUCUUUAGUCAGGGAAGAAGUCAAUGACGGUACCUGAAGAAUAAGCUCCGGCUAACUACGUGCCAGCAGCCGCGGUAAUACGUAGGGAGCAAGCGUUGUUCGGAAUGACUGGGCGUAAAGGGUGCGUAGGCGGUUGUACAAGUUAGAAGUGAAAUACCCAGGGCUUAACUCGGGUGCUGCUUCUAAAACUGUAUGACUUGAGUGCAGUAGAGGUUAGUGGAAUUCCUAGUGUAGCGGUGGAAUGCGUAGAUAUUAGGAGGAACACCAGAGGCGAAGGCGGCUAACUGGACUGCAACUGACGCUGAGGCACGAAAGUGUGGGGAGCAAACAGGAUUAGAUACCCUAGUAGUC